UGCCUGUUCGAGCGUCAUUACAACCCUCAAGCACUGCUUGGUGUUGGGUUUCACCGCCCGGUGAGCCCUAAAAUCAGUGGCGGAGCGUUCGGUUUCCAGCGUAGUAAAUCUCUCGCUGUGGAAUCGCGACGUCCCCCGCCAGCAACCACUAAUUUUCUAAGGUUGACCUCGGAUCAGGUAGGGAUACCCGCUGAACUUAA
rnacentral:misc_RNA from 1 species